UUCCGGUUGAUCCUGCGGAGGCCACUGCUAUGGGGGUCCGACUAAGCCAUGCGAGUCAUGGGGCGCGCUCUGCGCGCACCGGCGGACGGCUCAGUAACACGUCGGUAACCUACCCUCGGGAGGGGGAUAACCCCGGGAAACUGGGGCUAAUCCCCCAUAGGCCUGAGGUACUGGAAGGUCCUCAGGCCGAAGGGGGCUUUGCCCGCCCGAGGAUGGGCCGGCGGCCGAUUAGGUAGUUGGUGGGGUAACGGCCCACCAAGCCGAAGAUCGGUACGGGCCAUGAGAGUGGGAGCCCGGAGAUGGACACUGAGACACGGGUCCAGGCCCUACGGGGCGCAGCAGGCGCGAAACCUCCGCAAUGCGGGCAACCGCGACGGGGGGACCCCCAGUGCCGUGGCACAGCCACGGCUUUUCCGGAGUGUAAAAAGCUCCGGGAAUAAGGGCUGGGCAAGGCCGGUGGCAGCCGCCGCGGUAAUACCGGCGGCCCAAGUGGUGGCCGCUAUUAUUGGGCCUAAAGCGUCCGUAGCCGGGCCCGUAAGUCCCUGGCGAAAUCCCACGGCUCAACCGUGGGGCUUGCUGGGGAUACUGCGGGCCUUGGGACCGGGAGAGGCCGGGGGUACCCCUGGGGUAGGGGUGAAAUCCUAUAAUCCCAGGGGGACCGCCAGUGGCGAAGGCGCCCGGCUGGAACGGGUCCGACGGUGAGGGACGAAGGCCAGGGGAGCGAACCGGAUUAGAUACCCGGGUAGUCCUGGCUGUAAAGGAUGCGGGCUAGGUGUCGGGCGAGCUUCGAGCUCGCCCGGUGCCGGAGGGAAGCCGUUAAGCCCGCCGCCUGGGGAGUACGGCCGCAAGGCUGAAACUUAAAGGAAUUGGCGGGGGAGCACUACAAGGGAAGGAGCGUGCGGUUUAAUUGGAUCAACGCCGGAAAU
rnacentral:rRNA from 1 species